rnacentral:lncRNA from 1 species
UUCCAUUGAAUAUACACUCUGGAAUACACAGUAAGCCUCUCCUUUUUUGAUACACACAACAACAACUUCACACAAGAGUCCAUUCACACAUCUCACGAGGGAGAGCAACACAAUAAUAUUCACGCACUUCUCCAUUUUCCAUAUUUACCAACAAUACACCACGCAAUGCACACACUUACGAAAAGACACUCCACAAUCACAAAUUUCCACUCAGAGAAUAAUCACAAGAAUAUAUAAACAAAGAGUAAAUCAGGAGUGAAUAGAACUGAGGGAGAAAUGGGAGAAAACCGAUCAAAAAAAUGCGAGUGUAGGAGAGAAAUAGUUUCUCUGUUGAUAUUCCAAGAUAAUUAUCUGAAAACUCCCUCAACAAAGCAAUACCACCAUGAACACCAUCUCCACCGGCGAAGCAAUUUCACUAGGAUACGGUAACCGGUCACUUCCC